rnacentral:rRNA from 1 species
AUUGAACGCUGGCGGCAUGCCUUACACAUGCAAGUCGAACGGUAACGGGCCUUCGGGUGCCGACGAGUGGCGAACGGGUGAGUAAUGUAUCGGAACGUACCUUUCAGUGGGGGAUAACGUAGCGAAAGUUACGCUAAUACCGCAUAUUCUGUGAGCAGGAAAACAGGGGAUCGCAAGACCUUGCGCUGAUUGAGCGGCCGAUAUCAGAUUAGCUAGUUGGUGAGGUAAAGGCUCACCAAGGCGACGAUCUGUAGCGGGUCUGAGAGGAUGAUCCGCCACACUGGAACUGAGACACGGUCCAGACUCCUACGGGAGGCAGCAGUGGGGAAUUUUGGGACAAUGGGGGCAACCCUGAUCCAGCCAUGCCGCGUGAGUGAAGAAGGCCUUC